GACGAACGCUGGCGGCGUGCUUAACACAUGCAAGUCGAGCGGUAAGGCCCUUUCGGGGGUACGACGAGCGGCGAACGGGUGAGUAACACGUGGGUGACCUGCCCUCAGCUCUGGGAUAAGCCUGGGAAACCGGGUCUAAUACUGGAUAUGACUCCAUGACGCAUGUUGUGGGGUGGAAAGCCUUGUGCGGCUGAGGAUGGGCCCGCGGCCUAUCAGCUUGUUGGUGGGGUGAGGCCUACCAAGGCGACGACGGGUAGCCGGCCUGAGAGGGCGACCGGCCACACUGGGACUGAGACACGGCCCAGACUCCUACGGGAGGCAGCAGUGGGGAAUCUUGC
rnacentral:rRNA from 1 species